GGGUUGUGAGGUUAAGCGACUAAGCGUACACGGUGGAUGCCCUGGCAGUCAGAGGCGAUGAAGGACGUGCUAAUCUGCGAUAAGCGUCGGUAAGGUGAUAUGAACCGUUAUAACCGGCGAUUUCCGAAUGGGGAAACCCAGUGUGUUUCGACACACUAUCAUUAACUGAAUCCAUAGGUUAAUGAGGCGAACCGGGGGAACUGAAACAUCUAAGUACCCCGAGGAAAAGAAAUCAACCGAGAUUCCCCCAGUAGCGGCGAGCGAACGGGGAGCAGCCCAGAGCCUGAAUCAGUGUGUGUGUUAGUGGAAGCGUCUGGAAAGGCGCGCGAUACAGGGUGACAGCCCCGUACACAAAAAUGCACAUACUGUGAGCUCGAUGAGUAGGGCGGGACACGUGGUAUCCUGUCUGAAUAUGGGGGGACCAUCCUCCAAGGCUAAAUACUCCUGACUGACCGAUAGUGAACCAGUACCGUGAGGGAAAGGCGAAAAGAACCCCGGCGAGGGGAGUGAAAAAGAACCUGAAACCGUGUACGUACAAGCAGUGGGAGCACGCUUAGGCGUGUGACUGCGUACCUUUUGUAUAAUGGGUCAGCGACUUAUAUUCUGUAGCAAGGUUAACCGAAUAGGGGAGCCGAAGGGAAACCGAGUCUUAACUGGGCGUUAAGUUGCAGGGUAUAGACCCGAAACCCGGUGAUCUAGCCAUGGGCAGGUUGAAGGUUGGGUAACACUAACUGGAGGACCGAACCGACUAAUGUUGAAAAAUUAGCGGAUGACUUGUGGCUGGGGGUGAAAGGCCAAUCAAACCGGGAGAUAGCUGGUUCUCCCCGAAAGCUAUUUAGGUAGCGCCUCGUGAAUUCAUCUCCGGGGGUAGAGCACUGUUUCGGCAAGGGGGUCAUCCCGACUUACCAACCCGAUGCAAACUGCGAAUACCGGAGAAUGUUAUCACGGGAGACACACGGCGGGUGCUAACGUCCGUCGUGAAGAGGGAAACAACCCAGACCGCCAGCUAAGGUCCCAAAGUCAUGGUUAAGUGGGAAACGAUGUGGGAAGGCCCAGACAGCCAGGAUGUUGGCUUAGAAGCAGCCAUCAUUUAAAGAAAGCGUAAUAGCUCACUGGUCGAGUCGGCCUGCGCGGAAGAUGUAACGGGGCUAAACCAUGCACCGAAGCUGCGGCAGCGACGCUUAUGCGUUGUUGGGUAGGGGAGCGUUCUGUAAGCCUGUGAAGGUGUGCUGUGAGGCAUGCUGGAGGUAUCAGAAGUGCGAAUGCUGACAUAAGUAACGAUAAAGCGGGUGAAAAGCCCGCUCGCCGGAAGACCAAGGGUUCCUGUCCAACGUUAAUCGGGGCAGGGUGAGUCGACCCCUAAGGCGAGGCCGAAAGGCGUAGUCGAUGGGAAACAGGUUAAUAUUCCUGUACUUGGUGUUACUGCGAAGGGGGGACGGAGAAGGCUAUGUUGGCCGGGCGACGGUUGUCCCGGUUUAAGCGUGUAGGCUGGUUUUCCAGGCAAAUCCGGAAAAUCAAGGCUGAGGCGUGAUGACGAGGCACUACGGUGCUGAAGCAACAAAUGCCCUGCUUCCAGGAAAAGCCUCUAAGCAUCAGGUAACAUCAAAUCGUACCCCAAACCGACACAGGUGGUCAGGUAGAGAAUACCAAGGCGCUUGAGAGAACUCGGGUGAAGGAACUAGGCAAAAUGGUGCCGUAACUUCGGGAGAAGGCACGCUGAUAUGUAGGUGAAGUCCCUCGCGGAUGGAGCUGAAAUCAGUCGAAGAUACCAGCUGGCUGCAACUGUUUAUUAAAAACACAGCACUGUGCAAACACGAAAGUGGACGUAUACGGUGUGACGCCUGCCCGGUGCCGGAAGGUUAAUUGAUGGGGUCAGCGCAAGCGAAGCUCUUGAUCGAAGCCCCGGUAAACGGCGGCCGUAACUAUAACGGUCCUAAGGUAGCGAAAUUCCUUGUCGGGUAAGUUCCGACCUGCACGAAUGGCGUAAUGAUGGCCAGGCUGUCUCCACCCGAGACUCAGUGAAAUUGAACUCGCUGUGAAGAUGCAGUGUACCCGCGGCAAGACGGAAAGACCCCGUGAACCUUUACUAUAGCUUGACACUGAACAUUGAGCCUUGAUGUGUAGGAUAGGUGGGAGGCUUAGAAGUGUGGACGCCAGUCUGCAUGGAGCCGACCUUGAAAUACCACCCUUUAAUGUUUGAUGUUCUAACGUUGACCCGUAAUCCGGGUUGCGGACAGUGUCUGGUGGGUAGUUUGACUGGGGCGGUCUCCUCCUAAAGAGUAACGGAGGAGCACGAAGGUUGGCUAAUCCUGGUCGGACAUCAGGAGGUUAGUGCAAUGGCAUAAGCCAGCUUGACUGCGAGCGUGACGGCGCGAGCAGGUGCGAAAGCAGGUCAUAGUGAUCCGGUGGUUCUGAAUGGAAGGGCCAUCGCUCAACGGAUAAAAGGUACUCCGGGGAUAACAGGCUGAUACCGCCCAAGAGUUCAUAUCGACGGCGGUGUUUGGCACCUCGAUGUCGGCUCAUCACAUCCUGGGGCUGAAGUAGGUCCCAAGGGUAUGGCUGUUCGCCAUUUAAAGUGGUACGCGAGCUGGGUUUAGAACGUCGUGAGACAGUUCGGUCCCUAUCUGCCGUGGGCGCUGGAGAACUGAGGGGGGCUGCUCCUAGUACGAGAGGACCGGAGUGGACGCAUCACUGGUGUUCGGGUUGUCAUGCCAAUGGCACUGCCCGGUAGCUAAAUGCGGAAGAGAUAAGUGCUGAAAGCAUCUAAGCACGAAACUUGCCCCGAGAUGAGUUCUCCCUGACUCCUUGAGAGUCCUGAAGGAACGUUGAAGACGACGACGUUGAUAGGCCGGGUGUGUAAGCGCAGCGAUGCGUUGAGCUAACCGGUACUAAUGAACCGUGAGG
rnacentral:rRNA from 1 species